rnacentral:tRNA from 4 species
GCCCUCGUAGCUCAGGGGAUAGAGCAUCGGCCUCCGGAGCCGUGUGCGCAGGUUCGAAUCCUGCCGAGGGCG